CGGCCCCGCACGGACGCCGGCCAGCCGCCCCGCGCUACGUCACACGCCACUCACCGGCACCACACACACACACGCACACAGACAGAGCUCCGGCGCGCGGUCCCUCCCGAGUGAGCCAGCCAGCGCCGGCAUCGGCAUGCUGCGGCCGUGGGCAGCGGCGGCGCUGCUCGUGGUGGCGGUGGCGGCGGCGUCUGUGGGCGGCGCGACGGCCCAGGCCUGUCCGCCGCGUUGCCUCUGCUUCCGGACCACCGUGCGCUGCAUGUUCCUGCAGCUCGAGACCGUGCCGCCCAUCCCCAAGGAGGCCACUGUCGUAUGACAACGCGCGACGGCAUCGAACAACUGUCCUGACGGUGCCCCCGCCUUAAUCCCAUCCAGAGCGUCAGGAGUGCCUUGAGGAGAAGUAUCAAAGCACGUUCACAUGCACCAACGACCAUCCACCAGUUGUCUACAUCGGUACUGGACGAAGGGUACGCCUUGUGAAAUGAUGCGUAAAUUCAUUGAGUUUCUGAAGAACAAUUUAAUAACUGAUAGUAACUCUGUAGCGAUGGUUCGAAACUGCUUUGUUACAUUUGUCGGAAAUAUAACAUUCAGAAACGAUUUUUGAA